rnacentral:rRNA from 1 species
UACGAAGGUGGCAAGCGUUACUCGGAAUUACUAGGCGUAAAGGGCAGGUAGGUGGUUUUGUAAGUCUAUUGUGAAAGCUCCCGGCUUAACUGGGAGAGGUCAAUGGAUACUGCAGAACUUGAGUAUAGGAGAGGUUACUGGAAUUCCCGGUGUAGCGGUGAAAUGCGCAGAGAUCGGGAGGAACACCAAUGGCGAAAGCAGGUAACUGGACUAUUACUGACACUCAGCUGCGAAAGCUAGGGGAGCAAACAGG